GUCUCUCUGGACAAGCUGCACUCAUCUUUCAGUCAUGAUCCCAUGGCCUAGAGUCACCUGUGCCUUCAUUGCUAUUCAUGUCAUCUCCCGUACAACUUCCUCAGACCUCCCUGACCCACUAUAAUUGCCUCAACAACUCCCGAAGAUAUGUGCCACCCAAGAUGUAGCACCGUCCACCUGGAGUUGUUCUUCUGAAACGAGCUUCGUGCUUUAUACCGCCUUUGGAGAACCACGUGGGAAGAACUAUUUCCCACCCCCUACCUCGACGGACGCAGUUCGAAGCUAGUCCCUGGAGCAUGCGCAGUGACAUCUCACCCUCCCCACCCCUCCCUUCACCCCACCCGGCUCCUGCAUUAAGCCCCGGGUUCGCAGCAGCAGCCAGGAUCGGGCACCCGGGGGCGGGCGGGCACAGUAGGGCCAUGGCUGAGGGUGAGGAUAUGCAGACCUUCACUUCCAUCAUGGAUGCACUAGUCCGCAUCAGUGUGAGUUAAGGUGGGGUCAAGGGGAAGGGAGGGGAUGUAAAGGGUCGGGGCAAGCCAGACCCUUGAACAGGUGGGGGUCCAGGAAGAAUAUGGAUUAUAGAGAAGGGAUUAGUUAAGACAGAAAUGACUGGGAGGGCGGAGACGCAAGUGUGGAGGGAUCCUGGGGACAGCCGAGUGGUGAGACUCCCGUUUGCUGGGGUGUAGGCAGCGAGAAGCUGCCCGGACCCAGCGGGUAGGCUUGGGGUAGCUGCCAGGCGUGCACCAGGGCUAUGAGAAGGGGCAUGUGUGAGCUUGGAUGUUUUCCAAGAAACUGAGGACAGGUGUGGCGGGGGGUGGGGUGGGGUGAUGAAAAAACCGCUCCUGGGUGCAGUUCCCAAUUUGGACCCCUCCCGACCACCCCCCCUACCGCCCCCAACCCCCCCCCCCGCUAGCUGCCGUGCAGCCUCCCGUUGCCAUGGUAACCCGUGCCCGUCUCUCCCAGAGGCGGUGCCAACCCUGCUCCCCCCCACCACUUCCUUCCCCCUCCCUCCCUCUCCCUCCCUCCUUUGUGUCAGCUGCGCCCCUGACCGGGAUGGCUGCGAAGAGAGGGACCAAGACAAGCAUGAAGAACAUGGAGAAGGAACUGCUGUGCCCAGUGUGCCAAGAGAUGUACAAGCAGCCACUAGUGCUGCCUUGUACCCACAACGUGUGCCAGGCCUGUGCCCGGGAGGUUUUGGGCCAGCAGGGGUACAUAGGCCAUGGUGGGGAUCCGAGUUCGGAGCCCACUUCUCCUGCUUCCACCCCUUCUACCCGCAGCCCCCGCCUCUCUCGGAGAACUCUCCCCAAGCCAGAUCGCUUGGACCGGCUCCUUAAGUCAGGCUUUGGGACAUACCCUGGGCGGAAGCGUGGUGCCUUGCACCCCCAGACGAUCCUAUUCCCGUGCCCAGCCUGCCAAGGCGAUGUGGAGCUGGGGGAGAGGGGCCUUUCCGGGCUUUUCCGAAACCUGACCCUAGAGCGAGUGGUGGAGAGGUACCGCCAGAGUGUGAGUGUGGGAGGAGCCAUCCUGUGCCAGUUGUGCAAGCCCCCACCACUAGAGGCCACCAAGGGCUGCACAGAGUGUCGAGCUACCUUCUGUAACGAAUGCUUCAAGCUCUUCCACCCCUGGGGCACUCAGAAGGCGCAGCAUGAGCCCACGCUACCCACUCUUUCAUUCCGCCCCAAGGGUCUGAUGUGUCCAGACCACAAGGAAGAGGUGACCCACUACUGUAAGACAUGUCAACGACUGGUGUGCCAACUCUGCAGAGUACGGCGUACCCACAGUGGGCACAAGAUCACACCAGUGCUCAGUGCCUACCAGGCCCUCAAGGAUAAGCUAACAAAGAGCCUGGCAUACAUCUUGGGAAACCAGGACACUGUGCAGACCCAGAUUUGUGAGCUGGAAGAGACCAUCAGGCACACUGAGGUGAGUGGUCAGCAAGCAAAAGAGGAGGUGUCCCAGCUGGUUCGGGGACUAGGGGCUGUGCUGGAAGAGAAGCGGGCCUCACUGCUUCAGGCCAUUGAAGAAUGCCAGCAAGAGCGCUUAUCCCGGCUCAGCGCCCAGAUCCAUGAACACCAGAGCCUGCUGGAUGGCUCGGGUCUGGUGGGUUAUGCGCAGGAAGUCCUUAAGGAAACAGACCAGCCUUGUUUUGUACAAGCAGCCAAACAGCUGCAUAACAGGAUUGCCCGAGCCACUGAGGCCCUCCAGACAUUCCGGCCAGCUGCCAGCUCCUCCUUCCGCCACUGCCAGCUGGAUGUGGGGCGUGAGAUGAAGCUGUUGACCGAGCUUAGCUUCCUGAGAGGCUGUGGCCACCGCGGACUCUGCUCCGGAGCACCCCAGUGCCCGAGGCGCCCGUCAUAGACACCCAACGCACCUUUGCCUAUGAUCAAAUCUUCCUGUGCUGGCGGCUGCCCCCUCACUCACCACCUGCCUGGCAUUACACCGUUGAGUUCCGGCGCACAGAUGUCCCCGCCCAGCCAGGCCCUACACGCUGGCAGCGCCGGGAAGAGGUGAGGGGCACCAGCGCCCUUCUUGAGAACCCCGACACGGGCUCUGUGUACGUGCUGCGUGUCCGUGGCUGCAACAAGGCUGGCUACGGAGAGUACAGUGAAGAUGUGCACCUGCACACACCCCCAGCCCCUGAUACGACCCGGACAGUGGGCACGACAGCGGUGCCGAGGACGCUGCCGUGGAGGCGUUACCACCCUUUGCUUUCCUGACCAUCGGCAUGGGCAAGAUCCUGCUGGGUUCCGGAGCGAGUUCCAAUGCAGGGCUGACAGGGAGGGAUGGCCCCACCGCCAGCUGCACAGUGCCCCUGCCACCCCGCCUAGGUAUCUGUUUGGACUACGAGCGGGGGCGGGUCUCCUUCCUGGAUGCCGUGUCCUUCCGUGGGCUGCUCGAGUGCCCCCUGGACUGCUCAGGGCCUGUGUGCCCUGCCUUCUGCUUCAUUGGGGGUGGCGCUGUUCAGCUGCAGGAGCCCGUGGGCACCAAGCCUGAGAGGAAAGUCACCAUUGGGGGCUUUGCCAAACUGGACUGAGCCGUUCAGGCCCCCUCUCAGACCUGAGUUCUGCUCCCCAAGUCUCUGGCAUCGAGUUUGUUUUCCCAACAGCUUCUCUCCCAGACUUUCCCUAACCAUGUGGCCCUGCCCCAUACCUUGCCAGCGGUGUCUUCCCAGGGCUUCCCUUGACUAAGGGACUUUCCUCUGCUUCUCUCUGGAUGUCCUUCAUUCUCUGUGUUACCUGUUGGCCUAGGCCGCAGGCUCAUCAUGUCUCUGACCCAGGCCCCGCCCUUGGCAUCAUAACCAAGGCAUAGAAAGCCCUGUUCCGUCCCUGGCCUGUGCUCCUGAGCCUUACUGGGAGGGAGGGCACCUGGAACACUGGAUAUGACUAACAACUCUGCCCUUGCCUUGCCAAGCCCCCCUACCCCACUAAUGCUGACUGCAGCCUUGGCAGCCAGGCUUUGAGCCUCCCAGUGAGACAGAGGAGAACCUAUCCUGUUUUAUUUGGGUCCCUAUACCCUCCAGCUGCAUGUCCCUUCUGUCCCUCUUCUCCUCUUGCAUGCUUUACCUAUCCAGCACCCAUGCCAACGUGCCAAGUCUCCCUUGGGAACUCAGUUAAGGCUGGUGUCCCCAUUGGGUUGGGCCAAGCUAGGCCUCUGGUGCCUGCUACUGCCUCCGUACAGUGGGCAUUGCUAGGCCUGUGCUGAGCAACAGCUGUAAUUUUCAUGGUUUAUAAACAAUAAACUGUGACACCAGGCACAUUUCUGUU